UUGGUCAUUUAGAGGAAGUAAAAGUCGUAACAAGGUUUCUGUAGGUGAACCUGCAGAAGGAUCAUUAGUGAAGAUUUGGGCAGGCCAUACGGACGCCAAAAAGUGUCCCUGGCCGCCUACACCCACUAUACAUCCACAAACCCGUGUGCACUGUCUUGGAGAAAGGCUUCAGAGAAGUUUUUUGUGGCCUCUCUUGGGGUCUUUCUUCGCUACAAACUCGAAUGGUUAGUAUGAACGUGGAACUUGGUUGGACCGUCACUGGCCAACAAACUAUACACAACUUUCGACAACGGAUCUCUUGGUUCUCCCAUCGAUGAAGAACGCAGCGAAACGCGAUAGGUAAUGUGAAUUGCAGAAUUCCGUGAAUCAUCGAAUCUUUGAACGCACCUUGCGCUCUAUGGCAAUCCGUAGAGCACGCCUGUUUGAGUGCCAUGAAAUCUCCCACCCCAAGCGGUUUUUAAAUGAAACGGCUUGGCGGAUGGGGUCUGGAUGGGUGCCUCUGCCUGCGCUACCUAGCACAGGCUCGCCCGAAAUGCAUGAGCGCCUUGAGACACUUUGCAUCCGCCUCUCUGUUUGGGAGGAGGCGGCCAAGCAGUGUUUUUCUCCUGGCAUGGCAUGAUACGUCAUUUGCUAUGUCGCCUAAAGGAGGAAUGUUUGGUUGUGUCUGCGUGUGCUUCGAACUUGCCUCUGUGGCACAUCCCAAUUUCACUUCUGGUCUCAAAUCAGGUAGGAUCACCCGCUGAACUUAAGCAUAUCAAUAAGCGGAGGA
rnacentral:rRNA from 1 species